rnacentral:rRNA from 1 species
AAUUCGAUGCUAACCGAAGAACCUUACCUGGACUUGACAUCCCUGGAACCUGGUAGAGAUACUGGGGUGCCCUGCUUGCAGGGAACCAGGAGACAGGUGCUGCAUGGCUGUCGUCAGCUCGUGCCGUGAGGUGUUGGGGUUAAGUCCCGCAACGAGCGCAACCCCUGCACUUAGUUGCCAUCAGGUCAAGCUGGGCACUCUAAGUGGACAGCCGGCGUAAGCCGGAGGAAGGUGGGGAUGACGUCAAGUCAUCAUGGCCUUUAUGUCCAGGGCUACACACGUGCUACAAUGGCGCAUACAGAGGGCAGCGAAGCCGUGAGGUGGAGCGAAUCUUGUCAAAGUGCGCCUCAAUUCGGAUUGCAGUCUGCAACUCGACUGCAUGAAGUUGGAAUCGCUAGUAAUCGCGGAUCAGCAAAGCCGCGGUGAAUACGUUCCCGGGCCUU